GAUAAGCGGUACAGAUAAUAGAUGGAUGUCUGAACUUUGAUAAAAGUCAAACUCAAAUACAUUUAGACUGACCCCAAUCCUCUUCCGUACCUGACCCUGAACAGGCAACGGAGAACAUGGCUGCUCCCACAGCUAGCUGGGCUAAGACAGAGCUUCUGCAGCACAGUGCGGAGCAAAUGCAGCACAAGGAGUCAUGAGUGAGGACGGGGUGAGCAGUGACGAAUAAACUACAACACUUCAGCACAGUG